AUUGAACGCUAGCGGGAUGCUUUACCCAUGCAAGUCGAACGAGUGGCGGACGGGUGAGUAAUAUAUCGGAACGUGCCCAGUAGCGGGGGAUAACUACUCGAAAGAGUGGCUAAUACCGCAUACUCUUGGAGCGGCCGAUAUCGGAUUAGCUAGUUGGUGGGGUAACGGCUCACCAAGGCAACGAUCCGUAGCUGGUUUGAGAGGACGACCAGCCAAACUGGGACUGAGACACGGCCCAGACUCCGACGGGAGGCAGCAGUGGGGAAUAUUGGACAAUGGGGGAAACCCUGAUGCAGCCAUCCCGCGUGUAUGAGAAGGCCUUCGGGUUGUAAAGUACUUUCGGCAGAGAAGCGUUACCUGCAGAAGAAGCACCGGCUAACUACGUGCCAGCAGCCGCGGUAAUAC
rnacentral:rRNA from 1 species